rnacentral:lncRNA from 1 species
AGCCUCCCAAAGUGCUGGGAUUACAGGCGUGAGCCACCACGCCUGGCCUAGAAUCAAAUCUUUUUUGCUCUUUGACUUAUUCUUAGAGAAAAAUCAAUUAGGAUACUGAAAUUUUGGUGCAUUUUUGGUUUUCCUUUUUCUCUUGAAAAAAAAUUCAUUGAAAAGUCAUAUUUAUAUGAGCUCACAGUGCAAUAUACCAAUUUCACACUCAUAUUUUUCUUUCUUUCUUUUUCUUUUUUUUUCUUUUUUUUGAGACAGGGUCUCUCCCUGUUGCCUAGGCUGGAGUGCAGUGGCACAAUAACAACUCACCGCAGCCUCGACCUCCUGGACGCAAGUGAUCAUAGUUUUAUUUCUAUGCCUUCUGAAGGACUAGAUACAGAAGACAGUAAUAGCUUGAGCCUGAGAUGGGAAAAAACUUUCUUAAAAUCAAAGAAAAUUCAUGAUGGCCAGAAUUUACACACUGCUUCAAUUCUUUUCAUCUAUAUUUUCAAAAAGAUACUUGGUCAUACUUUGCAAAACUUGUCACAGAAAAGAAAUUAUAGUCUGGAUAAACAAAGAGUAAAUAUUCAUUCAUAGCUGCUACACAUUCAUCUCUAUAUAAAACCUACUCUCCCCUCUGAAAAAGCAGCAUAACCAGUCAACGAACAAGUAUAUAGGAUUAGCACAUUAUGAAGAAUAAAGAGAAGCUUUCAGCUCUCCGUCAUGGAUGAUAUUUAUCACAUUUUCCACGACUGGCUCUAAUAACAGUGCAGAGAUAAAAUAGGCUUGAUGCAUCUUUCCUGUACAGAGAAUUUUACAACAGCAACUGUAAGAAAUUCAGGAGAUGAAACACUUCUCCCCUCUUGCAGUUUUUAUUAGUCUUAAAAAUGGGAGGUGGGUGUGUGGGGGAGACUGUUUCUACAAAAGUGGGCUUGAAUUUUCUGUCUGUUAUGCUAAUGUAUUCAUAGAAAAAGCUGGUGCUGAGGGCGGUUCUCCAAUUAAGACAAAUGAGGCACAUUGAAUUUCUCCCCCAGGGCACAGCAGGGGUGCUGGCAAAAUCUACUUUAUUCUUUUCUGUCAGGACUGAACUGGAAACAAAAGCAUGAAAAUUCAACACAUCCACUUACAGAAUAAUAAAGGCUGUUGUUUAAAGCGUGAAGAGUUUUGGCACCCUUCUGGGGCCUUAUGCAAAUCGCUCUUCCUCUCAACUGCUACCACACCAUCGGUCUUGGAAAUUAAAGAUGUACUUGGUCGGUUAACAGCUGAAAGGAGAAGAGCAGCCUGAAACUCAAUUAGAUUUGUAUUAAGCAAAUAAAUCAGGACUGACUGAUAUUGGCUAAACUAAAAUGCAUUAUGGGCUGACAGUAAUUCUAAUUUGAUGGACAAAUAUAUGUAGUGUGUUAUUAACCUAAAUGAAAGAUGAGAAUCCUUUUUUUUUCUUUUUAAAGGAUUUUGUUCUAGUAAACAAUCCGCUCUCCCUCUGAACUUACACAAAACAAUAAACAGAGACUACUGGUAUGGUUCUGUUUACAAUCCAUGCUCAAGAACACAGGAAAUCUAUUUUCUAUUACGUGGUUAGAGUUUGAGACAAAAUUAUUGUGCUGAAAGACAUUUGUUUUUAUCGAUUUAUUUGGUGUAAUGUAACAUCUCAACACAUUAUUUAUUUGGUACACCAAGCACGCUAUUUUUAUUAUGGUGAGUAACACAAAAGCAUAGACCUGGUAUAUGUCUCAUUAUUUAUUCGGAACCCUGUAGUAUAGGAGGCUUUUCCACACCAGGGCACAUACAAAGGGGCCUCAAAUAUGGUUCAAAGUCAUAAAUGAAGAUUUCAAUAAAAUCCUCCAAAGCUUUGAGGAAAACAAAAAACACUCAACAAAUAGCAUAAACGUGUUGGUGUGUGUGGUUGGAUAAGACAUUUCCUUUGAAAGAAGAGUUUUGGGAGUUUCAACUUACUUCCUUGUCUUUGCUGUUUACACCUUUAGAACUUACAGAAAUGGCCAGGUGUGGUGGCUCACACCUGUAAUCACAGCACUUUGAGAGGCUGAGGCAGGAGGAUGGGUUGAACACAGGAGUUUGAGAUCAGUCUGGGCAACAUGGAGAAAUCCUCAUCUUUAAAACAUACUUUUUGACAAACUUAGCCACGCUUGGUGGCACAUGCCUGUGGUCCCAGCCACUCAGGAGGUUGAGGCAGAGGAUUGCUUGAGCUUAGCAGUUCGAGGUCGCAGUCAACUAUGAUCACACCACUGCAAUCUAGCCUGGGCAACAGAAUGAGACCCUGUCUCAAAAACAACAACGAGAAAAACCUUACAGAGAUUUAGGUCAUUACAUUUAACAUCCUGCUAAAUUAAUAAUUAACUAGUAACUUAAUACUUUUGCUUUGGUUGUAACUAUGUUCUAUUUUCGUCACCUUUUCCUUCUGGCUAUCAGAUUAAAGACUCAUUGACUCACUGUUGUCUUUCAAUUAUCUUUCCUUCUACAUUUCCUACCUGGCUCUUCUUGCCAAAUCCUGCUGCGUUUUGCUCUGCAUAGGUGCCAGAAAUUGUCUAUUUCUCCCCUUCAAAACUUGUCCAAACCUUUGCCCCUGUGUGGGCAGCUUCCUGCCGCAGCUCUUGCCAGUACCUGUUCUCAUAUCUCCUUGUUGGGGCUCAGAAAGCAACACCCCAAAACAUGGUGCUUUGGCACUGCUGAGCACUUUGAACUGGAGAUCAGAAGGCCUUAGAAGCUGCUUCAGAAGCAAAAUCUCUGACCUUCUCCUGUUCUCUCGUCCUCUCCCUCUCCUUCUCCUCCAAAACAAGUUAUAGAGUCUAGAAUUUCUCUUCCCCAAGGCAGGUUAUAGAAACUAGAUCUCCUCUCCCCAAAAAGCAAGCCAUAAAGAAGACCCUCAUUCCAAAGGAGUCCUUCCCUGUAGCCAGGAGGAAGGAAUGCCACACAGAGAGGCCAAGGUGAAUUGGAACAGACAGGGAUUGCUGGGUUUUCACCCCUACAGUCUAUUACCACUAGAUCAUUCCCUUUGUCCAGUCACAUUUCUACGUGGCUGUCUAUUCUUCAUUGAAUCUAAGCAUAAAAACAGACAAUUUUCCCUCAGUCUUUGACUCCUCAUAUCUCAAAGUUUGAGAUAUGAAGACUCAAUCUUUGUCAUGUAAAACUUGAUUAUAUCAAGUAACUUUGUUAUGCCUUUUUUUUUUGAGUUGGAGUCUCGCUGUGUCGCCCAGGCUGGAGUGCUGUGGCGCGAUCUCGGCUCACUGCAAGCCUCGCCUCCCAGGUUCACGCCAUUCUCCUGCCUCACCUCCCGAGUAGCUGGGACUACAGGCACCCGCCACCACACCUGGCUAAUUUUUUUGUAUUUUUAGUAGAGACGGGGUUUCACUGUGUUAGCCAGUGUGGUCUCGAUCUCCUGACCUCAUGAUCCGCCCGCCUUGGCCACCCAAAGUGCUGGGAUUACAGGUGUGAGCCACUGUGCCCAGCCUGUUACGCCUUUUUCUGGUUAAGCUUCCCCCACUCCCCACCUUUUUUUUUGUUUCAGAGGGUAUAUGUGCAGAUGUAUUACAUGGGUAUAUUGUGUGAUGCUGAGAUUUAGGGUACAGAUGGUCUUGUCACCCAGGCAGUGAGCAUAGUACCCAAUAGGUGGUUUUUCAGCCCACGCCCCCUUCCCUUCUCCUUCUAGUAGUCCUCAGUGUCUAUUGUUCCCUUCUUUGUGUCCAUGUGUACUCAAUGUUUAGCUCCUACUUGUGAGAACACACAGUAUUUGUUUUUCUGUUCCUGUGUUAAUUCAUUAAUUCACAUAGGAUAAUGGCCUUCAGCUGUAUCCAUGUUGCAAACGACAUGAUUUUUUUCUUUCUUAUGGCUGUGUAGUAUUCCAUGGUAUAUAUGUACUGUCUUUUGUUAUAGGAGUGUUGGCCAUGACCCUUAUGAUGGAUGAGGAAAGGGAUCAUACCUUUCUGUCCCACAUCCUCUACUGAACAUAUCAAAGAUUCUUGGCCAAAACCAAUUUUCCCUGACACUCUGUCUCAACUGUUCUUUCCCAUUAUAAUUGGUGUUGAUAUGGACAGGAGGCAGAGAAAUACUAGGUAGAAAAGGGUGGGGCUUCUGGCAAGUGUUCUACCCCCAAGCCUGGACCCACGUCCCUAAAUGAGAACUUCACAUCCCUGUUUUUCUGCGCAAAUAUUACCUUAUGUGCUGCCACCCUCACAUCCUGUGUCCAUAAAAACUCCAAGCUCCACUGGCAGAGGAGCCCAGUGGUGUGGCAGAAAAGGAGAGAAGAGAAGAGGCAGCUGGACAUUGGAGACUACAGUCAGAGAGGAGUUUGGCUGUCUCCAGCUGAACUCCAGGGGAAGAUUAUCUUCCUACUCCAUCCCCUUUCCAGCUCCCCAUCCUACUGAGAGCCACUUCCACUGCUCAAUAAAAUCUCCACAUUGAUUAUCCUUCAAGUCUGUGUGAACUGAUUCUUCCUGGAUGCUGGACAAGAACCCAGGUACCAAGAGGGCAGGGUGUAAAAGCCUGUCACCCUGAUCCUCCACUGACCUGGUUUAACACUUAGCCAUCUGUGGAUGGCAAAUGCUAAAAGAUCAUUGUAAGACAUGCCCUCUGGGGCUCUAGAGGUCACUAGCAACCCCUAGACACUGCCAUGGGCCAGUACCAGGUUCGUUCCUUGCUCCUGCACCUGCCAACCUGCAAGCUUCCCCUCCUGUAAGGAGUUUGAGUGCGGUGGCCGAGCAAAGGAGACACCCCUGUUGCAAGUCCCAUGAGGGGGUCAAGGGAACUCUCCCGUCUCAAUAUUCCUCACUGAUAAUGAGAGCAAAGAACACCAUAGAAUGAGACUUCAUGAAUUGCCAUCAAGUUUUGCACACAGUUACUUUCAUCCCAGAUUAAAGUCUCUCUUUUUAGCUUUUCCAACAGUUGUCAUCUCAGACCACUCAACUGCUGCUCUCACUUCUCUCUUCUCCUUCCUCUGCAGAGCUGGCCAUACUCUUUUUUUUUUUGUCACUCUUUUUUUGUUACAUUUUUGCUUGCUUUCUUGUCAUUUCCUUUAAAAUUCAUCAACAAAAUUAGUUUAUUAAACUUUGAUAUCCAUCCCAGUACUCAUAUAUAAUUUGAUAGUGACAAUCCUUCCACUUAUUGUGAGUUUAGAAUAACUUUGUUCUAUAAUAUUGAUUAGGUUCAGGGCACACUAACCCAAAAUAUGGCACCUUGGCAUAUUGAAUAUUUUAAGCUGAAAGAAUCUGAGAAAUUCCCUAUGCUGGAAGGACUUUCUGACUUUCCCUAAAGCAGGUCAUGUGAGAGGUGCCCUCCUUAUACCUGGAGGAAAGGAGCAUCCAUAUCUCCAAAGACACAGGGAUGCUGAGAGGAAUCUGAAUGGACAAGCCUUGUCGUUUCUCCUAGUUUAUUAUAAUUAGCACAUGCCCAUUUUAUGCUAUCAUAUUUCCCCAUGACCGUCUACUCUUCAUCAAACCUAGCAUAAAGCAACCCAGUUUUAAGCACUUCUUUGGGUCUUCAUUUCCUAUUGAAGGCUCCAGUGUCACGCAAAACAUACACAUUUCUAUGAUUCUUUCUUUCUGUCUUUUGUUCCAGGGGCCCCAGCCAAUGAACCUAAAAUGAGUAAAAGAUAAAGAUGUUUUUCUCCUCCCCAACAAUAUUUGAUUAAUGCUUUUUCAGGUUUCAGACUUUUAGUUAACAUUCUGUAUUGUGAGAUUACUUUUAAAAAAUGAGAUUCAAUCUAAUUUCUUAAAUAAACUUGUGUAUACCUCUUUGGUUGUUCAUUUUGGUUUUUUAUUCCAUUUAGGAACAGUAAUGUCAUAGACUUUUGACAUUCACUGGAUGCCCAUUCAAUGGGCCUUCAUAAAUCUCAAUAAUUUUUUUUCAUUUUAAAAAAUCAUGAUAAAACACAUACGACGUAAACUUUACCAUUGUAACCAUUUUUAAGUAUACAAUUCAGUGGCAUUAAGAACAUUCACAAUGUUGUAUGAUGUGGUUCAGAACACACUGCCCCAAAAUAUGGCACUUUGGCAUAUUGAGUAUUUUAAACUGAAGGAAUUUGAGAAAUAGGUGCUAGAAGGACUCUCUGACCUCCUGUUUUUCCCUUGAAGCAGAUCCCAAGACCCUCAUGUAAGAGGUGCCCUUGCUAUACUCAGAGGAAAAGAGCAUCCCUACCUCUGAAGAGGGAGGGAUGCCGAGAGGAAUCUGAAUGAACAGGGCUUGUUGUUUUCCCCAGAUUACUACCCUUAGCUCAUAGCCUUUGUCCUAUUACAUUUUUCCAUGACUUUUUACUCUUCCUCAAAUCUAGUAGAAAAAUGCACAGGCUUAACUGUUGCUUUGUCUUCAUUUCCUUAUAAAGUUUCCUUGGCCACAUAAAACUUACAUUAAAUAAAUUUUUACAUAUUUUUUCUUGUUAAUCUGUCUUUCGUUAGUCUAAUUUACAGGGUCCCAGUCAGAUAACCUAAAAGGAUAGAGACAAAGGAUAUUUUUUUUCUCUCCUAC